rnacentral:lncRNA from 1 species
GUUGUAUGGCUUGAUAGCAACAGAUGGACACAUCUCCUCCCUCACCCUUUCUUUUUAUUGUACUCCAUAAAAAUGAAUCCCUUUCCUUAGGCUGAGAGCAUCUGUCUCUUGUGUGAGAAGAUUUAAUAUUUUUUUUUUUCCUCUUUCUUUCCCCCCUCCCUCUUCUGUACUUUGUGAAGCUGUGUGACUCUUCAAGGUAAAGUGUGAAGGCCACACACACACAAAAUUGUGUUCAGACAAAGCACAAAAGCCUUGAAGGAGGCAAGUGAAAGUCAAGUUCUUCAAAGUCAUUUGCUGUCUGGUGCCAGGAACCACAAAAACAGAUGGAGAGUUGGAGAAAGAAGUGGUAGAAGAAAGCCUCUCAAGGCUUGCAUGACUGCAAAUGAAUAGAGUAGAAUACUUCAGUCAUUUGAGAGUCAUGUUACUGGUCCUGAAACAAAACUGUUGUGACAAGUUGUUGAAUGGAAGACUUUCCAAGAAAUCAAUCCUUCAUACCAGAAAGAUUCAUCUGAUUGAUGCCCAAACAAACUGCACUACAAUAUUUGGAGCUUCUUGCAAUACAAGAGUUCUUCUCCUAAAGCACUUGAAUCCCUUUCCUUGCAGGACUUCCAACAUUUUUACAGUGUAG